CUAGAAACUAUGUGGUGGAGGGGAAGAAGGCAGCCAAGAGGUAGUUGGCCAGUUUUCGAGGCCAUGGUGGUCAAAAUUGCUGAGAGGCAACACUCGAAAGCUACAUCAAGGACACCGGAGGAUGGACCAGAAGACCUGAGACCAAGACGACCCAAGCCCAACCCAUAGCAUGCUUCACUGACAAAUGUUGAUGCUUCAUCAUUACAUAGACCAAAGGUUUCAGAGAAGGCUGGUAGAGCUCUCUAUGAGUGUGAGCUGUGGGAGAUAACCAAGAACUGACAACCACCUACAGAAGAGGUGGCGAUAAUGGCUCUCCAAGAGGAGGUUGUGAGUCUGAAGGCUUUUAUUCAACAAGGAGGCACUUAGAGGGAAUGCCUGGACCCUGAGAGGACUAAGACGAUAAUUGAGGCCACCCUGAAGCAGUUCCCAGGCCAGACACUCACUCCAGAUUGCUGGGCCAGGCAAUAAAUGCCAAAGUGACAGAACUGAGGUUCCAUAACAAAAACAGAUUUUCAAUAAAAUAGAAUAAAA